rnacentral:piRNA from 1 species
UCUCGGGACUGAAUAGACAAUUCUUUGCCUGC